rnacentral:rRNA from 1 species
CUACCUGACCUAGCGGCGGACGGGUGAGUAAUGCUUAGGAAUCUGCCUAUUAGUGGGGGACAACAUCUCGAAAGGGAUGCUAAUACCGCAUACGUCCUACGGGAGAAAGCAGGGGACCUUCGGGCCUUGCGCUAAUAGAUGAGCCUAAGUCGGAUUAGCUAGUUGGUGGGGUAAAGGCCUACCAAGGCGACGAUCUGUAGCGGGUCUGAGAGGAUGAUCCGCCACACUGGGACUGAGACACGGCCCAGACUCCUACGGGAGGCAGCAGUGGGGAAUAUUGGACAAUGGGGGGAACCCUGAUCCAGCCAUGCCGCGUGUGUGAAGAAGGCCUUUUGGUUGUAAAGCACUUUAAGCGAGGAGGAGGCUACCGAGAUUAAUACUUUUGGAUAGCGGACGUUACUCGCAGAAUAAGCACCGGCUAACUCUGUGCCAGCAGCCGCGGUAAUACAGAGGGUGCAAGCGUUAAUCGGAUUUACUGGGCGUAAAGCGCGCGUAGGUGGCCAAUUAAGUCAAAUGUGAAAUCCCCGAGCUUAACUUGGGAAUUGCAUUCGAUACUGGUUGGCUAGAGUAUGGGAGAGGAUGGUAGAAUUCCAGGUGUAGCGGUGAAAUGCGUAGAGAUCUGGAGGAAUACCGAUGGCGAAGGCAGCCAUCUGGCCUAAUACUGACACUGAGGUGCGAAAGCAUGGGGAGCAAACAGAAUUAGAUACCCUGGUAGUCCACGCCGUAAACGAUGUCGACUAGCCGUUGGGAUCCUUGAGAUCUUAGUGGCGCAGCUAACGCAUUAAGUCGACCGCCUGGGGG